GACGAACGCUGGCGGCGUGCUUAACACAUGCAAGUCGAACGGAAAGGCCCUGCUUUUGUGGGGUGCUCGAGUGGCGAACGGGUGAGUAACACGUGAGUAACCUGCCCUUGACUUUGGGAUAACUUCAGGAAACUGGGGCUAAUACCGGAUAGGAGCUCCUGCUGCAUGGUGGGGGUUGGAAAGUUUCGGCGGUUGGGGAUGGACUCGCGGCUUAUCAGCUUGUUGGUGGGGUAGUGGCUUACCAAGGCUUUGACGGGUAGCCGGCCUGAGAGGGUGACCGGCCACAUUGGGACUGAGAUACGGCCCAGACUCCUACGGGAGGCAGCAGUGGGGAAUAUUGCACAAUGGGCGGAAGCCUGAUGCAGCAACGCCGCGUGCGGGAUGACGGCCUUCGGGUUGUAAACCGCUUUCGCCUGUGACGAAGCGUGAGUGACGGUAAUGGGUAAAGAAGCACCGGCUAACUACGUGCCAGCAGCCGCGGUGAUACGUAGGGUGCGAGCGUUGUCCGGAUUUAUUGGGCGUAAAGGGCUCGUAGGUGGUUGAUCGCGUCGGAAGUGUAAUCUUGGGGCUUAACCCUGAGCGUGCUUUCGAUACGGGUUGACUUGAGGAAGGUAGGGGAGAAUGGAAUUCCUGGUGGAGCGGUGGAAUGCGCAGAUAUCAGGAGGAACACCAGUGGCGAAGGCGGUUCUCUGGGCCUUUCCUGACGCUGAGGAGCGAGAGCGUGGGGAGCGAACAGGCUUAGAUACCCUGGUAGUCCACGCUGUAAACGGUGGGUACUAGGUGUGGGGUCCAUUCCACGGGUUCCGUGCCGUAGCUAACGCUUUAAGUACCCCGCCUGGGGAGUACGGCCGCAAGGCUAAAACUCAAAGGAAUUGACGGGGCCCCGCACAAGCGGCGGAGCAUGCGGAUUAAUUCGAUGCAACGCGUAGAACCUUACCUGGGUUUGACAUGGAUCGGGAGCGCUCAGAGAUGGGUGUGCCUCUUUUGGGGUCGGUUCACAGGUGGUGCAUGGCUGUCGUCAGCUCGUGUCGUGAGAUGUUGGGUUAAGUCCCGCAACGAGCGCAACCCUUGUUCACUGUUGCCAGCACGUUAUGGUGGGGACUCAGUGGAGACCGCCGGGGUCAACUCGGAGGAAGGUGGGGAUGACGUCAAGUCAUCAUGCCCCUUAUGUCCAGGGCUUCACGCAUGCUACAAUGGCUGGUACAGAGAGUGGCGAGCCUGUGAGGGUGAGCGAAUCUCGGAAAGCCGGUCUCAGUUCGGAUUGGGGUCUGCAACUCGACCUCAUGAAGUCGGAGUCGCUAGUAAUCGCAGAUCAGCAACGCUGCGGUGAAUACGUUCCCGGG
rnacentral:rRNA from 1 species